rnacentral:rRNA from 1 species
CCUACGGGUGGCAGCAGUGAGGAAUAUUGGUCAAUGGACGCAAGUCUGAACCAGCCAUGCCGCGUGCAGGAUGACGGCUCUAUGAGUUGUAAACUGCUUUUAUAAGAGGGUAAACGCAGAUACGCGUAUCUGUCUGAAAGUAUCGUACGAAUAAGGAUCGGCUAACUCCGUGCCAGCAGCCGCGGUAAUACGGAGGAUUCAAGCGUUAUCCGGAUUUAUUGGGUUUAAAGGGUGCGUAGGCGGUCGGAUAAGUUAGAGGUGAAAUCCCGAGGCUCAACUUCGGAAUUGCAUUUGAUACUGUUCGUCUAGAGAGUAGUUGCGGUAGGCGGAAUGUAUGGUGUAGCGGUGAAAUGCUUAGAGAUCAUACAGAACACCGAUUGCGAAGGCAGCUUACCAAGCUACUUCUGACGUUGAGGCACGAAAGCGUGGGGAGCAAACAGGAUUAGAUACCCGAGUAGUC